CGCACGGGUGAGUAACACGUAUCCAACCUGCCGUCUACUCUUGGCCAGCCUUCUGAAAGGAAGAUUAAUCCAGGAUGGCAUCAUGAGUUCACAUGUCCGCAUGAUUAAAGGUAUUUUCCGGUAGACGAUGGGGAUGCGUUCCAUUAGAUAGUAGGCGGGGUAACGGCCCACCUAGUCAACGAUGGAUAGGGGUUCUGAGAGGAAGGUCCCCCACAUUGGAACUGAGGCACGGUCCAA
rnacentral:rRNA from 1 species